rnacentral:rRNA from 1 species
UAUGUGAUCGUCUCUCGCAUAUCAAUAAGCGGAGGAAAAGAAACUAACAAGGAUUCCCCUAGUAACGGCGAGUGAAGCGGGAAGAGCUCAAAAUAUUUGAAAUCUUAAAGGGUUUCCCUUUACGAAUUGUAGUUUAAAGAAGUGUUUUCUGUUGAGGUUUUGGUAAAAGUUCUUUGGAAUAGGACAUCAUAGAGGGUGAGAAUCCCGUAUUUGACCUUUACUUUCAACUUUGUGAUACACUUUCAAAGAGUCGGAUUGUUUGGGAAUUGCAGUCCAAAAUGGGUGGUAAAUUUCAUCUAAAGCUAAAUAUUGGCGAGAGACCGAUAGCGAACAAGUACCGUGAGGGAAAGAUGAAAAGAACUUUGAAAAGAGAGUUAAACAGUACGUGAAAUUGUCAAAAGGGAAGCGUUUGACACCAGUGUUGUUUUUCUGAAAAUCAAUUAAAGAACUGUUUAUGCUAAGUUGUUUAGACUUUAUCAGCUAACUGUUUAGUUUUGAGCUUUUCUUUAAUGCACUUUUCAGUUAACAAGUCAACAUCAAUUUCUUUUGCUGUGAAAAAAGCUUGAGGAAGGUGGCUUGAGAUUCGUCUUAAGUGUUUAUAGCCUCUUGCCUAUGCAGUCGGAGAGAUUGAGGUCUGCAGCGUAGAUCCUUCGGGGCUAAAUGCAUUUGUGCUAAGUUAUAGCAUUUUAUAGACAACUUGUUGACUAUGAUUUGUCUUGUAGCUUACUCGCUUAUGUUAUUUUACCUACGCUUAGGAUGUUGAUCUGUAGUGCGUGCGC